UACAGGGGGUGCAAACGUUGCUCGGAAUCAUUGGGCGUAAAGCGCACGUAGGCGGUUCGUUAUGUCGGAUGUGAAAGCCCUUGGCUUAACCGAGGAAGUGCAAUCCGAAACUGGCGAGCUAGAGUACGAAAGAGGAUCGCGGAAUUCCCGGUGUAGAGGUGAAAUUCGUAGAUAUCGGGAGGAACACCGGUGGCGAAGGCGGCGAUCUGGGUCGAUACUGACGCUGAGGUGCGAAAGCGUGGGGGAGCAAACAGGG
rnacentral:rRNA from 1 species